UACGUAGGGGGCAAGCGUUGUCCGGAAUCAUUGGGCGUAAAGAGCGUGUAGGCGGCCCGGUAAGUCCGCUGUGAAAGUCCAGGGCUCAACCCUGGGAUGCCGGUGGAUACUGUCGGGCUCGAGUCCGGAAGAGGAGUGUGGAAUUCCUGGUGUAGCGGUGAAAUGCGCAGAUAUCAGGAGGAACACCAAUGGCGAAGGCAGCACUCUGGGACGUGACUGACGCUGAGAAGCGAAAGCAUGGGGAGCGAACAGG
rnacentral:rRNA from 1 species